GGGUCCUCCUGAAGUCACGCCACCCGGCUAGGGGGCGAGGAGCCUCCUACUGCCCAUCUUCCCGUCCACCACGCGCAGUUACUCACCUUUGUCUCCGGCCUGGAUUAAGGAUCCAGCCUUUCGCCUCCAUCCCUCUUGUCCCUCCUGAUCCUCCUGACCCUGUCUUUAAGAUCCCAGGAGCUGCGGUGAGGAGUGAGGCUGAGGGGCCCCUUUCAUCUGAUGCAGCGACUCCGCUUUCCUCCGGCGGCUCUGUCUAUGGCUGAGCUCUUUGAUCCUUUGAGAGAUGGUUUGACUUUUCCCGAGCAAAGAGCCUGCGUUGAAAAGCGGGGGUGGAAUUCAGUCCUCACAGAUAAUGAGGGGACAAGACCUAAUUGAACCGAGUAUUGCCGGGAAGGAAAAGGCAACGGGCCAAGCCUUUGACAGGGUGCGACACUGACUUUUAUCAUCGUUAUAGUCUUUAAAUCCUGGGAAACGAGUUGGCAACCCCAAAAUAAAGAAGUGUAAUGACGUCUGAUGACUUCACCCAAAUACAGACCAUUCCAAGAAAGACUUGCGCAGUUCUCAUGCGUGGUUGCGUUUUUGCAUAAAACUAAGAUUCCCUUUGUCCGCAUGUUUAAUAGCUUAAAAAUAAAUUGAGGUUUUUAUCGGAUAAAAGUAGCCAGGAAAAAGUGAUACAGUGAAAACGAUUACAGGAUAUUUAUAGACUUGUCUUUCAAGUUAUUAGAAGUCUCAUUCUAUCUGGGGGCAGUGAUGGUGGUGGUGGUAGUGGAACUUGUGAAUUGAGAUUCAUAGUGGAACUUGUGAAUUGAGAUUCAUCUCGAAACUGGAGGCAUGGCUGAGACUUCUAAUAAAGACAACCUCAGU
rnacentral:lncRNA from 1 species